rnacentral:rRNA from 1 species
GAUGAACGCUAGCGGGAGGCCUAACACAUGCAAGCCGAGCGGUAUUGUUUCUUCGGAAAUGAGAGAGCGGCGUACGGGUGCGGAACACGUGUGCAACCUGCCUUUAUCUGGGGGAUAGCCUUUCGAAAGGAAGAUUAAUACUCCAUAAUAUAUUGAACGGCAUCGUUUAAUAUUGAAAGCUCCGGCGGAUAGAGAUGGGCACGCGCAAGAUUAGCUAGUUGGUGAGGUAACGGCUCACCAAGGCGAUGAUCUUUAGGGGGCCUGAGAGGGUGAUCCCCCACACUGGUACUGAGACACGGACCAGACUCCUACGGGAGGCAGCAGUGAGGAAUAUUGGUCAAUGGGUGCAAGCCUGAACCAGCCAUCCCGCGUGAAGGACGACUGCCCUAUGGGUUGUAAACUUCUUUUGUAUAGGGAUAAACCUACCCUCGUGAGGGUAGCUGAAGGUACUAUACGAAUAAGCACCGGCUAACUCCGUGCCAGCAGCCGCGGUAAUACGGAGGGUGCAAGCGUUAUCCGGAUUUAUUGGGUUUAAAGGGUCCGUAGGCGGACUUAUAAGUCAGUGGUGAAAGCCUGUCGCUUAACGAUAGAACUGCCGUUGAUACUGUAAGUCUUGAGUAUAUUUGAGGUAGCUGGAAUAAGUAGUGUAGCGGUGAAAUGCAUAGAUAUUACUUAGAACACCAAUUGCGAAGGCAGGUUACCAAGAUAUAACUGACGCUGAGGGACGAAAGCGUGGGGAGCGAACAGGAUUAGAUACCCUGGUAGUCCACGCCGUAAACGAUGCUAACUCGUUUUUGGGCUUUAGGGUUCAGAGACCAAGCGAAAGUGAUAAGUUAGCCACCUGGGGAGUACGCUCGCAAGAGUGAAACUCAAAGGAAUCGACGGGGGCCCGCACAAGCGGUGGAUUAUGUGGUUUAAUUCGAUGAUACGCGAGGAACCUUACCAAGACUUAAAUGGGAAUUGACAGCUUUAGAAAUAGAGCUUUCUUCGGACAAUUUUCAAGGUGCUGCAUGGUUGUCGUCAGCUCGUGCCGUGAGGUGUUAGGUUAAGUCCUGCAACGAGCGCAACCCCUGUCACUAGUUGCCAUCAUUCAGUUGGGGACUCUAGUGAGACUGCCUACGCAAGUAGAGAGGAAGGUGGGGAUGACGUCAAAUCAUCACGGCCCUUACGUCUUGGGCCACACACGUAAUACAAUGGCCGGUACAGAGGGCAGCUACACAGCGAUGUGAUGCAAAUCUCGAAAGCCGGUCUCAGUUCGGAUUGGAGUCUGCAACUCGACUCUAUGAAGCUGGAAUCGCUAGUAAUCGCGCAUCAGCCAUGGCGCGGUGAAUACGUUCCCGGGCCU